rnacentral:rRNA from 1 species
GCACAAGCGGUGGAUGAUGUGGUUUAAUUCGAUGCAACGCGAAAACCUUACCCACCUUUGACAUGGCAGGAAUCCCGAAGAGAUUGGGAGUGCUCGAAAGAGAACCUGCACACAGGUGCUGCAUGGCUGUCGUCAGCUCGUGUCGUGAGAUGUUGGGUUAAGUCCCGCAACGAGCGCAACCCUUGCCAUUAGUUGCUACGAAAGGGCACUCUAAUGGGACGUGCCGGUGACAAACCGGAGGAAGGUGGGGAUGACGUCAAGUCCUCAUGGCCCUUAUAGGUGGGGCUACACACGUCAUACAAUGGCCGGUACAGAGGGUAGCCAACCCGCGAGGGGGAGCCAAUCCCACAAAGCCGGUCGUAGUCCGGAUCGCAGUCUGCAACUCGACUGCGUGAAGUCGGAAUCGCUAGUAAUCGCGGAUCAGCAUGUCGCGGUGAAUACGUUCCCGGGUCUU